GAUCAAGUACUUUAUGCCACGAAAACCAAUAUCACGCUAGUUGUUGAAAUCGACAACGCCGCUGGGGUGGUCGCUGCGCACUUGGCGAAUCCGCAACACAGGAGAAAAGAUUGGAUAGUCAAAUGACCCAGAAAUGUCCGUGGAGGAAUAUAGC
ensembl:ncRNA C42D8.16 ncRNA